GACACGACCGUACCGCAAACCGACACUGGUGCGCGAGAUGAGUAUUCUAAGGCGCUUGAGAGAACUCAGGAGAAGGAACUCGGCAAAUUGACACCGUAACUUCGGAAGAAGGUGUGCCUUUAGUAGGUGAAGUCCCUCGCGGAUGGAGCCCAAUGAGGUUGCAAAAAAUCGGUGGCUGCGACUGUUUAUUAAAAACACAGCACUCUGCAAACACGAAAGUGGACGUAUAGGGUGUGACGCCUGCCCGGUGCUGGAAGAUUAAAUGAUGGGGUGCAAGCUCUUGAUUGAAGUCCCAGUAAACGGCGGCCGUAACAAUAACGGUCCUAAGGUAGCGAAAUUCCUUGUCGGGUAAGUUCCGACCUGCACGAAUGGCGUAACGAUGGCCACACUGUCUCCUCCUGAGACUCAGCGAAGUUGAAAUGUUUGUGAUGAUGCAAUCUCCCCGCGGAAAGACGGAAAGACCCCAUGAACCUUUACUGUAGCUUUGUAUUGGACUUUGAACAGAUCUGUGUAGGAUAGGUGGGAGGCUUUGAAGCAGGGUCGCUAGAUCUUGUGGAGCCAACGUUGAAAUACCACCCUGGUGUGUUUGAGGUUCUAACCUAGGCCCGUAAUCCGGGUUGGGGACAGUGCAUGGUAGGCAGUUUGACUGGGGCGGUCUCCUCCCAAAGUGUAACGGAGGAGUUCGAAGGUACGCUAGUUACGGUCGGACAUCGUGACGAUAGUGCAAUGGCAUAAGCGUGCUUAACUGCGAGACUGACAAGUCGAGCAGAUGCGAAAGCAGGACAUAGUGAUCCGGUGGUUCUGUAUGGAAGGGCCAUCGCUCAACAGAUAAAAGGUACUCUGGGGAUAACAGGCUGAUACCGCCCAAGAGUUCAUAUCGACGGCGGUGUUUGGCACCUCGAUGUCGGCUCAUCUCAUCCUGGGGCUGUAGCCGGUCCCAAGGGUAUGGCUGUUCGCCAUUUAAAGAGGUACGUGAGCUGGGUUUAAAACGUCGUGAGACAGUUUGGUCCCUAUCUUCCGUGGGCGCUGCAGAUUUGAGGAAGCCUGCUCCUAGUACGAGAGGACCGGAGUGGACGCACCUCUGGUGUAUCGGUUGUCACGCCAGUGGCAUUGCCGAGUAGCUAUGUGCGGAAGAGAUAACCGCUGAAAGCAUCUAAGCGGGAAACUCGUUUCAAGAUGAGAUCUGCCGGGGCCUUGAGCCCCCUGAAGAGUCGUUCAAGACCAGGACGUUGAUAGGUCGGGUGUGGGAGCGCAGUAAUGCGUUAAGCUAACCGAUACUAAUUGCUCGUGCGGCUUGACCCU
rnacentral:rRNA from 1 species